CCUGACGCAGCGACGCCGCGUGGGUGAUGAAGGCCUUCGGGUCGUAAAGCCCUGUCAGGUGGGAAGAACGAUUGGGGGUCGAAUAGGCCUUUGAUGUGACGGUACCACCAGAGGAAGCACCGGCUAACUCCGUGCCAGCAGCCGCGGUAAUACGGAGGGUGCGAGCGUUAUUCGGAAUUACUGGGCGUAAAGCGCGUGUAGGCGGCCUGGCAAGUCUGAUGUGAAAGCCCCGGGCUUAACCUGGGAAGUGCAUUGGAAACUGUCGGGCUUGAGUACUGGAGAGGAUGGGGGAAUUCCCGGUGUAGAGGUGAAAUUCGUAGAGAUCGGGAGGAAUAUCAGUGGCGAAGGCGCCCAUCUGGACGGUAACUGACGCUGAGACGCGAAAGCGUGGGGAGCAAACAGGAUUAGAUACCCUGGUAGUCCACGCUGUAAACGAUGAGCACUGGGUGUAGCGGGUACUCAUUCCUGCUGUGCCGCGGCUAACGCGUUAAGUGCUCCGCCUGGGGAUUACGGUCGCAAGACUAAAACUCAAAGGAAUUGACGG
rnacentral:rRNA from 1 species